GUAGGUGGCAAGCGUUGUCCGGAUUUAUUGGGUUUAAAGGGUGCGUAGGCGGCCCUAUAAGUCAGUGCUGAAAUAUCCCGGCUUAACCGGGAGGGUGGCAUUGAUACUGUAGGGCUUGAGUAAAGUUGAGGUUGGCGGAAUUGACGGUGUAGCGGUGAAAUGCUUAGAUAUCGUCAAGAACACCGAUAGUGUAGACAGCUAACUAAGCUUUAACUGACGCUGAGGCACGAAAGUGUGGGGAUCAAACAGGAUUAGAUACCCUGGUAGUCCACACUGUAAACGUUGAAGACUCGCUGUUGGCGAUACACAGUCAGCGGCUUAGAGAAAUCGUUAAGUCUUCCACCUGGGGAGUACGCCGGCAA
rnacentral:rRNA from 1 species